UACGAGGGGGGCAAGCGUUGUUCGGAAUUAUUGGGCGUAAAGGGCGCGUAGGCGGUUUGACAAGUCUGAUGUGAAAUCCCCGGGCUCAACCUGGGAACUGCAUUGGUACUGGCAAGCUAGAGUACGGCAGAGGGGGGUGGAAUUCCACGUGUAGCAGUGAAAUGCGUAGAGAUGUGGAGGAACACCGAUGGCGAAGGCAGCCCCCUGGGCCGAUACUGACGCUCAGGCACGAAAGCGUGGGGAGCAAACAGG
rnacentral:rRNA from 1 species